CCACUAGGCUAGUGAAAGACCUUGAGGAAGAUGCAGGAAUCCGGCAGAGUGUGAAAGGAUACACUGAUAAUAUGCUGGUGAUUUUCUGUUGUUGCAGCUUAAUUUGCUUACAGUAGUGUGUCUGUGUUACUAGCCUGGCCAGAUGCCACUAAGCUGAGGUUUUAUGAAUUUAUGUCACUCUGUCUCAGCACAUAUUUGGAGAGGUCCUGUGCCACAUAGAAGUGGCCUUGGAUGGACGCUACGCCGCCGUGAGACGAGCAGAGUGCAACCUGGGUAAUCUGGUCAUCUAUGCCAUGCUGGAGGCCACUCAUGCUGAGGUGGCUUUUUUAAAACUCAGGGCUUGGAGAACGGAAUCCGCAACUACCUUGCUCUGGAUGGAAGAUUUCCCCAGGUUUCUGGGAUCCAUUUUGGCUUUGAUCUCAUUGGAAAACCUGGCAGAGUCAUCGCUGAGACUGUGAAGGUUCAAGGGCAACGAUGACUACACCAUGUUCAGUGGCGGACCUCAUGGGCACAUAAGGCACGUUUUAUGAAUUUAUGUCACUCUGUCUCAGCACAUGCUUGGAGAGGUCCUGUGCCACAUAGACGUGGCCUUGGAUGGAUGCUACGCCGCCGUGAGACGAGCAGAGUGCAACCUGGGUAAUCUGGUCAUCUAGGCUAUGCUGGAGGCCACUCAUGCUGAGGUGGCUUUUUUAAACUCAGAGCAGACUUGUUGAAUACAGAAAGAGUUUGGCAUCCAGGUUAGAAACAAGCCAUCAAUCAACAGGUGUAGGUUCUUCAUUUGAUCACUCUUUUGUUACUGCACAGUAGGAAAUCAGAACCUGUCAACCGUCCUUAUCAACCACUUUGAGUCUGGCCGUAUAGUCAGAUGCAUGAAGAGGUGCAAGUCUGGUCACAUGAUGGGCCUUAUCAAGGUGUCCACCACCCCCUCUGUGUCUGCCAUUGAGAGAUCCAAGAAUGAGAGUCUGGAGGGAGAGGUGGGAGUGGCUGUGGUGCCCGGAGUGGAGGGCAGGAUAUUCCACGUCCACCCUGAGGGCCAUUCAGAAACAGAAAGCUAACAGUAGGCAGGGCUGUUCCUCGUCUGAGAAUUCCACAGAGCAACUAAGCCAGGGCUCCAUAGUCACCGUGGGAACCAGGGGACAUUACAUCAAGUCUUUUGCAUCUCUCAUCUACUGCUUGCUUUUAUCAGCCUCAUAAACAAGGCAGAUUGUCAAUAAACACAGAAACAUGAGAUUAAAGUCAUUCAUUGUAUUACUUCCAGGAACAUUGUGCAAUUCAUUGACAUUGCACUCGAAAUGACUCUAACUGUGAACAUCGAAAACUAGUAUAUUACCAAAAAUGUAUUUAUUUUGAAUGAUAAGCAGAGAGGGUCUACAUUUGUGACGUAAGACGGUGUUGGUGUAUCAGUAUUUGAAUGGAGGAAAUAAGAAGAAGUGUCUACAUGUGUCCAUGAUAACAUUACAGUAAUAAAGUCAG